rnacentral:rRNA from 1 species
CCUACGGGGGGCUGCAGUGAGGAAUAUUGGUCAAUGGACGCAAGUCUGAACCAGCCAUGCCGCGUGCAGGAAGACGGCUCUAUGAGUUGUAAACUGCUUUUGUACGAGGGUAAACGCAGAUACGCGUAUCUGUCUGAAAGUAUCGUACGAAUAAGGAUCGGCUAACUCCGUGCCAGCAGCCGCGGUAAUACGGAGGAUUCAAGCGUUAUCCGGAUUUAUUGGGUUUAAAGGGUGCGUAGGCGGUCGGAUAAGUUAGUUGUGAAAGCCCGAGGCUCAACUUCGGAAUUGCCUUUGAUACUGUUCGGCUAGAGAGUAGUUGCGGUAGGCGGAAUGUAUGGUGUAGCGGUGAAAUGCUUAGAGAUCAUACAGAACACCGAUUGCGAAGGCAGCUUACCAAGCUACCUCUGACGUUGAGGCACGAAAGCGUGGGGAGCAAACAGGAUUAGAUACCCUAGUAGUC